AAGUAUCAACUCUUUGUAAUAUCAAUCUGAGCGGCUGACCCAUCAAUACUAUAAUAGUAUGAUCUUAGAAAUAAGGUCUGAGUCUCCACAUUGCUAUGAUCCAAGCAAAUAUCAUCUUUUCGACCUUCUUAUAUCAGAUUUCUAUAUCCUGCAGUAAUUUGUUGGUGCAGUAGAUAGGUCUUUGAAUAUUUUUUUUUUUCGGAUAGGAACUAUACUGACUGUAUAAG
rnacentral:lncRNA from 1 species